GGUAGGGUGGCUGAGGUUUAGGUAGCGGAUUGUAAACCCGUAGACGAAGGUUAAACCCCUUCCCCUAUCA
rnacentral:tRNA from 1 species